UUUAAAUGGCAAACCAGUUGCAUCAGUUUUGUGCCGCGGGCUUGAGAUAAGGAACUCAAGAUGGGCGGCAAGACGGCUCUAUGCUAACAUCUACUGGCGAAAUGGACAAAAGACAACUGUAAUGUUGUCCUUCAAGACAAAGCAAUGGUCAAAUACUAAUGAAUUCUCAAGUUGCUGGGAUGGCUGUAUUAUUGGAAGCAAGACUCUCAGUGGCCAACCUUCCUGAGGAUAUCUGUGGACCCCAGCAGACUUUGGUCACUUGCCCUUCCUCCUGUUUCCCUGGUCUGACGUCUUUCCUGAUUGCCUGAUUGCGCCCACCUGUGUCACCCUCCCUCAUGUGUAUAAAUGUCUCAUCCUCCUUCUGUCCUGUGCCAGAGUGUUUCGUAUCGUCUUGUGCGUACCUCCAGCGUACCUUGCCACAGUCUUGUCUUCAGCCAUUUCCACGUUUUGUUUGUACUUUUGAUCCACGGGAGAUUCUUUGUUUGUAACCUUUUGUCAGGUAAGAUUAGCUUCUUAGCAUUGCCUCCGUUGGAGCGCCUUUUUUGUAUUUGUUAGUUUUUGUUCUUUAGCCCCUUUUCCCUCCAUAGCCGGAGUGUUUUGAGUUGUUAAUAUUUUUGUUAGUUUAGUAGUCAGGUUAGAUCUGUUUUGAUAGCCUGUUUUGUUUCUCCCGUUUUGGACCCCUCCCCUUCUGAGAAUAAACAACUGUUUUCAGUAAUCCUGCAUCUGUGUCCAGAGUCCUAGUCGGGUCUUGACAAUUUCUGUGUGCGUUGCCUAACAUGCGCCUCUGCUCGUUUUACCAGCAAUGUCACAACGUGACGACUACGCGCCGUCAAGUCCGGAAAAAAAAAGCACAGUUUUAUUUUUGUUUUCCGUUUUUAAUUCAUUAUUACCGUAUUACUUUAUUAGUAUAGAUAUACCGUACAACACUAGCGUGUACUAUUAGUGUGCGUGUUGCGUGCGAUCUACUAAGACUGUGUGUACAAUUGUAAAGUGGUGCAGACCACCUUAUUGAAAUGAGGAUUUUGCAUGUACUGUAUGGGGCAUCACAACAGAGACACUCUAUUUUACCGCACAUCCAUGUUAUCAUGCUCCUACACAUAAAUGUGGCGUUUUGCUAUGUUUUCAAAAAAGCAGGAGUCACACCACUUUUUGUGGGCAUUUCAGAAGCAGUUGUGCAGCGCAUCUACAUUGGCACCACUUUUCUCUCCUUUUUUCUUUUACUGCUGAAGGUGUAUUGGAGGAAGGCUGCAAUACUGUACUCAAGAUGAAAAAAUGCUGACUUUAAGAAUGUCAUGAUCCAUGGUCCGGAUCAUGUUUUUGUUAUGUUCUGUUAGUUUGGACUCUUUUAGUUCCUUUUUGACACCUGAGUUUGUUUUAGUUACCAUGGCUACUUAUGAUUUUCACCUGCCUCUGGUGUUCGGAACGCGCACCUGCUUCUAAUCAGAGGACUAUUUAAGCCUGCCUUUGCCAGUCAGUCGUCCUGGCGUCAUUAUUGGUUUCAUGUAGGGCUGCAACAACUAAUCGAUUAAAAUCGAUUAUAAAAAUAGUUGGCGAUUAAUUUAGUCUUCGAUUCGUUGGAUCUAUGCUAUGCGCAUGCGCAGAGGCUACUUUUUUUUUUAAAAUAUAAACCUUUAUAUAUAUAUAUUUUAUUAUAAACUGCAACAUUUACAAACAGCUGAGAAACAAUAAUCAAAAUAAGUAUGGUGCCAGUAUGCUGAGUUUUUUUCAAUAAAAUACUGUAAAGGAUAGAAAUGUAGAUUGUCUCUUUUAUUCGAUUAUUAAUCGAUUAAUCAAAGUAAUAAUCGACAGAUUAAUCGAUUGUCAAAUUAGUUGUUAGUUGCAGCCCUAGUUUCAUGCCACAGUUUUGUGUUUGUUCUAUGCCAUAGUUAAUGCUAGUUGUUUCAUGCCACAGUUUCGUGUUUGUUUCAUGCCACAGUUUUGUGAGGUUCAUGUCUAUAGUUUCAUGUCCUAAGUUUUUGCCUUAGAUUCCGCAUGCGAUAGGCACGCUUGCCUUUGGGUUGUUUUCUGUUUUGUACCUCGUUGAUUGUUUCUUAAAAUUAAAUCAUGUUCCUACCUGCAAGUCCUGUCCGGUGUCGUCCGUUUGCCUU